UACGGAGGGUGCGAGCGUCAAUCGGAAUUACUGGGCGUAAAGCGUGCGUAGGCGGUUGUUUAAGUCAGAUGUGAAAGCCCUGGGCUCAACCUGGGAACUGCAUUUGAGACUGGACAGCUAGAGUUGAGUAGAGGUAAGUGGAAUUUCAGGUGUAGCGGUGAAAUGCGUAGAGAUCUGAAGGAACACCAGUGGCGAAGGCGACUUACUGGACUCAAACUGACGCUGAGGUACGAAAGCGUGGGGAUCAAACAGG
rnacentral:rRNA from 1 species